AUAACUCCGGGAAACCGGGGCUAAUACCGGAUAACUCAUCGAAUCGCAUGAUUCGAUGUUGAAAGGUGGCAUAUGCUAUCACUUACAGAUGGGCCCGCGGCGCAUUAGCUAGUUGGUGGGGUAACAGCCUACCAAGGCCACGAUGCGUAGCCGACCUGAGAGGGUGAUCGGCCACACUGGGACUGAGACACGGCCCAGACUCCUACGGGAGGCAGCAGUAGGGAAUCAUCCGCAAUGGACGAAAGUCUGACGGUGCAACGCCGCGUGAGUGAGGAAGGUCUUCGGAUCGUAAAGCUCUGUUGUUAGAGAAGAACAAGUGCUGUUCGAAUAGGUCAGCACCUUGACGGUACCUAACCAGAAAGCCACGGCUAACUACGUGCCAGCAGCCGCGGUAAUACGUAGGUGGCAAGCGUUGUCCGGAAUUAUUGGGCGUAAAGCGCGCGCAGGCGGUUCCUUAAGUCUGAUGUGAAAGCCCACGGCUCAACCGUGGAGGGUCAUUGGAAACUGGGGGACUUGAGUACAGAAGAGGAGAGCGGAAUUCCACGUGUAGCGGUGAAAUGCGUAGAUAUGUGGAGGAACACCAGUGGCGAAGGCGGCUCUCUGGUCUGUGACUGACGCUGAGGCGC
rnacentral:rRNA from 1 species